CAUGGGCAGGGACAUCUUCCACUAGACCAGGUUCGUCCAGGCUUGUCCAGCCUGGCCUUGAACACUUCCAGGGAUGGGACAGCUACAGCUGCUCUGUGCCAGGGCCUCACUAGGGAAGGAUUUCUUCCCAAUACUCCAUCUAACCCUGCUCUCUGGCAGUGGGAAGCCAUUUCCCCUUGCCUGUCCCUCCAUGUUUCUUGGAGCCCCUUUGGGCCCUGUGACUCUCAGCUCUCCCUGGUUCCUUCUCUUCUCCAGGCUGAACAUCCCCAGCUGUCCCAGCCUGUCCCCACAGCAGGAUGAACUCUUCAGGUCCUGGGCUGUUGUCUUGGCUUCUGCAGUUCAGCCUGUCCCUCCCCAGCCCAGGUGCUGCCUCUCCUGGCACCUUUCACCCUUCCCUGGCAGCCCAAGCCUCAGCUCCCCACCCUGCCUGGUGGCUCUGCAGUGAAUUGUCCAGCCCUGACAUGCUCUGGUGUCUGCAGUGUCCAGCUGGGCCCUGCAGCCCUGUGUGAGCCCCCUGAGAGCCUCACACACCCCGGUGCUGCAGCUGGAUGUGCUGCUCGGGCUGUGCCCACGUUCCCCUGGACACCUCUCAUGAACACUUUUCUCCUUUGCAAAAUGGGUUUGUUCUCAGCACAACUUCCACUUGCUGAUGCUGGGUUUAUCUCGGGGUCACUGGGAAGGGACUGCUCAGUACCUCACACUUCCUCCCUGCUAUCAACAUCCUGCUCAAGGCUACUCCAGAUUCUGAAUAAACAGAAUGAACAGUCA